ensembl:processed_transcript
AUUACCGAGCCCCAUUCAAGCACUGCAGCAGAGAGCGUUGUCAUGGAAACGGAGCAACGACACGACACCUGACCGUCAACAGCACUUCUCUCAUGCGGCAGUUUUCACUAAUUUCAGGAGUGACAAAAUUACCCCUACAACAGAAGAGAAGAGCCAAUAUGAAGGGAGCUAAUCACUGAGCUGGAGGAAACACAGAUUUUGGAUCGUCCUCUACUCACUCUACCACUUUGUUUUUCCUUGCCAGACUUCAUUCAAGGAUAAGAAAGAAGCCUGCUACAAGAGAGACAGCGGAAGGAACCUCAAAGACAUUUUUAUUAGGAUCUGCUAAUCAUGAGGGGGCAGACAAAAGAACCUGCAUUUUCCUUCAGCUUAAUAUCAGGGGUCGCCACAGCGUAAGGAACUGGAUAUUACUUUGGCAUAUGUUUUACACAGCCUUCCAGCUGCAACCCAGCACUGUGAAACACCCAUACACUCUCGUAUUCACAGACACUUCUACACUAUGUUCAAAUUCACCUAUAGCACAAGUGUUUGGACUGUGGUGGAAACCCACACCAAAACAGGGAGAACAUGCAAACUCCACACAGAAAUGCCAGCGGACCCAGCCGGGACUCAUACCAGCAACCUUUUUGCUGUGAGGUGACAGUCUUAUUAAUAACCUCCAGAUGUUUUAGUUUGAUUUUGUAAUAAUAAUGCACGUUUACAUUUAUUGUAAUAUGUUAAUAUUAAUUUGCAAUGUAAUUUAUUUUUAUGUUAUUUAUAAUAACGUUAAAUGUCAUAAGAAUGUUAUAAUUUAAUAUAAUAUUAUAAUAAAUAAUUAUAAUAAUGUUAAAAUAUAAAUAAUACUAAUUUUUUAAUAGUUUAUUUUUAUAAUGAGAAGUCUCAAAGUUUGUCUUUAUUAUAGAAAACUCAUUG